rnacentral:rRNA from 1 species
GAUAGACACACCUCCGAGUACAUUAAGGGCCUGCAUAAUUUUCUUGAAGUGGCUGAGGCAAACAAGAAGAAUGGUUUUAUGUGUUUUCCAUGCCCUAAAUGUGGGAAUACGAAGUCUUACUCUGACCGGAAAAUCCUUCACACCCACCUGCUUUACAAGGGUUUCAUGCCACACUAUAAUGCUUGGACGAGGCACGGAGAAAUAGGGGUUAUGAUGGAAGACGGCGAAGAAGAAGGGGACGAUGACAACUAUGUGCCCCCUGAAUACGGUGAUGCUGCAACGGGGGGAGCUGUUGAAGAUCAAGAGGAACCAGACGAUGUGCCCGAUGAUGCUGCAACGGGGAAAGCU